CACGUAGGGUGCGAGCGUUGUCCGGAAUUACUGGGCGUAAAGCGUGCGCAGGCGGUUUUGUAAGUCUGACGUGAAAUCCCCGGGCUUAACCUGGGAACUGCAUUGGUGACUGGCAGGCUUUGAGUGUGGCAGAGGGAGGUAGAAUUCCACGUGUAGCAGUGAAAUGCGUAGAGAUGUGGAGGAAUACCAAUGGCGAAGGCAGCCUCCUGGGCCAACACUGACGCUCAUGCACGAAAGCGUGGGGAGCAAACGGG
rnacentral:rRNA from 1 species